rnacentral:rRNA from 1 species
AUUGAACGCUGGCGGCAGGCCUAACACAUGCAAGUCGAACGGUAGCACAGAGAGCUUGCUCUAGGGUGACGAGUGGCGGACGGGUGAGUAAUGUCUGGGAAACUGCCCGGUGGAGGGGGAUAACUACUGGAAACGGUAGCUAAUACCGCAUAACGUCGCAAGACCAAAGUGGGGGACCUUCGGGCCUCACACCAUCGGAUGUGCCCAGAUGGGAUUAGCUAGUUGGUGAGGUAAUGGCUCACCAAGGCGACGAUCCCUAGCUGGUCUGAGAGGAUGACCAGCCUAACUGGAACUGAGACCCGGUCCAGACUCCUACGGGAGGCAGCAGUGGGGAAUAUUGCACAAUGGGCGCAAGCCUGAUGCAGCCAUGCCGCGUGUAUGAAGAAGGCCUUCGGGUUGUAAAGUACUUUCAGCGAGGAGGAAGGCAUUGUGGUUAAUAACCUUGUCGAUUGACGUUACCCGCAGAAGAAGCACCGGCUAACUCCGUGCCAGCCGCCGCCGUAA